UACGAGAGGCCCAACCGUUAUUCGGAAUUACUGGGCUUAAAGAGUUCGUAGGCGGCAUGAAAAGUAGGGUGUGAAAGCCCUCGGCUCAACCGAGGAAUUGCGCUCUAAACUGUCGUGCUCGAGGAACCUAGAGGUGAGCAGAACAGAUGGUGGAGCGGUGAAAUGCGUUGAUAUCAUCUGGAAUACCGGAGGCGAAGGCGGCUCACUGGGGGUUUUCUGACGCUGAGGAACGAAAGCCAGGGUAGCGAACGGG
rnacentral:rRNA from 1 species